GAGCAAGCAACGGAAGGCAUAUUCCGGUUCUGUUGUGACCAUUAAUGAACUUCGAAACAAUAUCAAGAGCUUGGAGGGAGAAAUAAAGCUGCAAGAACAAAGUGCAUUACAACAUGAAGCAUCAGCUGCUGCCAACACAAAGGAACUCAAAUCCGAAAUCGAGAGGUUGCAGAAUGAAAAGAUUGAAUCUUUGGCCACCAUAAGUGAACUUCAAUGCCAUAUCAAGAGCUUAGAGGAAGAAAUAAAGACACAAGAGGAGAAUAUACUGCAGCAUGAAGCAUCAGCUGCUGCCAACACAAAGGAACUCAAAUCCGAAAUCGUGAGGCUGGAGAAUGAAGUCAACGAGCAACGAAAUGAAUACAACGGUUCUUUGGCCAUCAUAAGUGGACUUCAAAACCAU
rnacentral:lncRNA from 1 species